AUGGGGAAAACAAGAUAUGCAAGAUUCCUGCUCUUAUGGUGCUCACUGCUCAGUAGAAAACAAAGAAGUAGAAAGAGAAUAAGGAAUGAACAGAGACAUGUGCUAUCCAAUGUGGAAUUCACUGGUGGACAGAGGCUGAGUUUUGACAGCAGGCACUGGUUGGAAGGGUGGUCGAUUCCUCGAGGCAGAGCUCUGGGAGCCAUCAUGAAAGCUACCUCCAUUUCCGUGGGCACUGUAGUGCUUCGAAUGGUGGCCUCCACGAAGAUAGCCCUAAUUCCUCAAUUCGGUGGAUAUUACCUGAUUUAGAAAAAGCAUCAUUGCAAAUUUCCCUAUUGAGGGCCAAGAUCAUGUCUUAUUCACAUGUCUGGAGCUUUGGGAAUCUGUAGUACAGAAGAGAAAUUUUAGGCAAUGAUGAAGAUUGAGAUUCCUUCAGAAAAACAUGGGGACUAAAAAAGCAUCAGGCUGAGGAAGGGGACCCAAUGAAGACCAGCUUUCGCGAAGUCAGCAGAAGAAAAGUAUCUGCUAAGGAAGACUAAAAAGAAAGAGGAGAAUCAGAAGAGAUCCACAUUUGGAAUCCAAG
rnacentral:lncRNA from 1 species